AAAUUGAAGAGUUUGAUCAUGGCUCAGAUUGAACGCUGGCGGCAGGCCUAACACAUGCAAGUCGAACGGUAACAGGAAGCAGCUUGCUGCUUUGCUGACGAGUGGCGGACGGGUGAGUAAUGUCUGGGAAACUGCCUGAUGGAGGGGGAUAACUACUGGAAACGGUGGCUAAUACCGCAUAACGUCGCAAGACCAAAGAGGGGGACCUUCGGGCCUCUUGCCAUCAGAUGUGCCCAGAUGGGAUUAGCUUGUUGGUGAGGUAACGGCUCACCAAGGCGACGAUCCCUAGCUGGUCUGAGAGGAUGACCAGCCACACUGGAACUGAGACACGGUCCAGACUCCUACGGGAGGCAGCAGUGGGGAAUAUUGCACAAUGGGCGCAAGCCUGAUGCAGCCAUGCCGCGUGUAUGAAGAAGGCCUUCGGGUUGUAAAGUACUUUCAGCGGGGAGGAAGGUGUUGCGGUUAAUAACCGCAGCAAUUGACGUUACCCGCAGAAGAAGCACCGGCUAACUCCGUGCCAGCAGCCGCGGUAAUACGGAGGGUGCAAGCGUUAAUCGGAAUUACUGGGCGUAAAGCGCACGCAGGCGGUCUGUCAAGUCGGAUGUGAAAUCCCCGGGCUCAACCUGGGAACUGCAUUCGAAACUGGCAGGCUUGAGUCUUGUAGAGGGGGGUAGAAUUCCAGGUGUAGCGGUGAAAUGCGUAGAGAUCUGGAGGAAUACCGGUGGCGAAGGCGGCCCCCUGGACAAAGACUGACGCUCAGGUGCGAAAGCGUGGGGAGCAAACAGGAUUAGAUACCCUGGUAGUCCACGCCGUAAACGAUGUCUACUUGGAGGUUGUGCCCUUGAGGCGUGGCUUCCGGAGCUAACGCGUUAAGUAGACCGCCUGGGGAGUACGGCCGCAAGGUUAAAACUCAAAUGAAUUGACGGGGGCCCGCACAAGCGGUGGAGCAUGUGGUUUAAUUCGAUGCAACGCGAAGAACCUUACCUGGUCUUGACAUCCACAGAACUUUCCAGAGAUGGAUUGGUGCCUUCGGGAACUGUGAGACAGGUGCUGCAUGGCUGUCGUCAGCUCGUGUUGUGAAAUGUUGGGUUAAGUCCCGCAACGAGCGCAACCCUUAUCCUUUGUUGCCAGCGGUCCGGCCGGGAACUCAAAGGAGACUGCCAGUGAUAAACUGGAGGAAGGUGGGGAUGACGUCAAGUCAUCAUGGCCCUUACGACCAGGGCUACACACGUGCUACAAUGGCGCAUACAAAGAGAAGCGACCUCGCGAGAGCAAGCGGACCUCAUAAAGUGCGUCGUAGUCCGGAUUGGAGUCUGCAACUCGACUCCAUGAAGUCGGAAUCGCUAGUAAUCGUGGAUCAGAAUGCCACGGUGAAUACGUUCCCGGGCCUUGUACACACCGCCCGUCACACCAUGGGAGUGGGUUGCAAAAGAAGUAGGUAGCUUAACCUUCGGGAGGGCGCUUACCACUUUGUGAUUCAUGACUGGGGUGAAGUCGUAACAAGGUAACCGUAGGGGAACCUGCGGUUGGAUCACCUCCUUACCUUAAAGAAGC
rnacentral:rRNA from 3 species